GGAAGGGGGUACCUCAUUUCUGCUUUGUUCUCUGUGCAUCAGGGAAUUUGGCAAACUAGGCGAGCUCAGCUUGGCAUCUAAGCUAGAUCCAGUAAUCUAGGUUAGGGUCCUGCUUUAAUGUUGUAAGCCUCUAGGAGUGUGGAAAACCUAGUGUUAAAUUUCCCUUUUCAGUAGAAAGUAGUUACCAUGGUCACCAAGGAGAACUGGGACUCCAAAGUUUCUUGGUGGCUCAGCUUAAAGCAUGCUUAAAAUCUCUACAAGUUUAAUUUCAGGCAGUGAUGAUUUGGAUAGUAUUUACCUAAAAAUCUGUAGUUCUAGAAUCUACAUUGUAGCUUAUCAGGUUUCUACCUUCUUGGUGUGAAGCAAGAAGAAAAAGAAACCACAAAUGAAGAGAUAGAUAAAACUCUUUGAGACAGCAUGGAGGGACCUGGAGAGUAUCAUGCUAAGCGAAAUAAGCCCAUCAGAGCAAGUAUCAUGUCAUCUCACUCAUAUGUGGAAUCUAAUGACAUACAAAAUAGAUCCAGAGACAUAGAAGCUUGGAACAGACUGUUGAGUCUCAGAGGGAAGACAGGAGUAGGUGGGAAGAGAUUAACCAAAGAACUUGUACGCAUAUGUACAUAACACAUGAACACAGAGUAGUGUGGGGAAGGCGGGGGAUUAGAAGGGCUCAAUGAGGGGGGGGGGGGGGAGAGGACAUAUGUAAUACUUUCAACAAUAACGUUGUUUGUUUUUUUAAAGCUGUGACGGCUAGAGAGAGAGAGAGAUAAAGGUAAAACUCUGAAAGUGCUGUUUUGUCAAGGUGUAAAUAUUGGGUGUCCUGUAUAGCUGCCUUAUAAAAGGUUUUAUAGCCAUUCCCUUCAAAGAAGCCACAUGUCAACUUUAAUUUUACAUAUAAAUAGAGGAUACCAGCCUUUUUAUUUUAGAUUACAUAAUCUGUUUAUUCUUUCAGUCAGCCAUUUGUUUGGAGUCAGAGACUGGGGAUACCCAUUAUUGGAGCUGAAUGUUGGUCUGUGUAACUAGGAAAAAAACAAAGAAGAGGGCAAGAAGAAAAUAAGUUAUUUUAAUAAGCUAGUUAGUUUGAGUAGCACAGAUCUUAUUAGUUGAAAAGGAGUCGGGGUGGCUCAAAAGAGG